CAGCUUCUGAAUGCAAAUAAUUUUUUUGAGUUGCAUGGCUGCUGCUUUGCUUGAAGUUGUUAAGGCUUUCUCAUCCUUUUGAACAUAAGUUCUGUAAGACUUCUAACUAAAACUAUUCUUUAGAUUUUUAAUAUGUAUUCAUUUAAUUGGGUUAUACUCACCUAAUCUGGGAUAUUAGAAAGCAUUAGGCUUUACCUGUCUUUUAAGUCCUUGGUUAAAAAAAGAAAAAGAGAAAUUUAGAUAUGAGUAAUGUCUCUUCGGUUGAAUUACUGAACUAUACUUUAGGUUUAGAAAAAUUGAAUAUAGGUUCACUCAUUGUCCUCUCCGUCUUCAAAUUUCCAGAAUUGAACUCAACUUCUUCAGUGAUUACUGGAACCAUUACAUGGCCAUUUCUUAAAAGAGAUUAUGAAAACAAUCAUUAACCAAGACUUUUUGGACAGAACUGCAUUUGAAGCAUGUAUGAUUAUACAGUAUUUUGUUGCUUUCUUAAGCAAAACAAUGCAUUGAGUAGUGUCUUCAGGAGACAAAAAUAGUUCUAUUCAUAGAACCUUUUCUGAAUUGUAAUAUGCUUGGAGCUUAAAAUCAUAUAGAUGUGUGCUCAAUUAUUUUAUUUGUGCACUUGACCACACUGGACUUCUGUCAUUUUUGCCUAAGCACACAGCUUAGAAAGCUAUUUUUUUAAGUUUAUUUUUACUACCAACUUUUACUUAAAGUUAACUAUGACCUUUAGCUUUUAGCUGUGCACUACUUGCUCUGUCUUGGCCAUUUAUAGUGAUUUUAAUAAGACCAGCCUGCAAGUAUCUGGAAGGCACACCGUUUAAUAUGUGUUUAUUUUCCCUAAUUUUGUUUUUUGUCUCAAAUAACUUUUAUAUCCAUGACAGAUAAAAUGAAUCUGAGUUCUAUGACUGAUUUUGUUUUAA
rnacentral:lncRNA from 10 species